rnacentral:rRNA from 1 species
CCUACGGGCGGCAGCAGUGAGGAAUAUUGGUCAAUGGUCGGGAGACUGAACCAGCCAAGCCGCGUGAGGGAUGAAGGUACAGAGUAUCGUAAACCUCUUUUGUCAGGGCACAACGGCGGGGACGUGUCCCCGGAUGAGUGUACCUGAAGCAAAAGCAUCGGCUGACUCCGUGCCAGCAGCCGCGGUAAUACGGAGGAUGCGAGCGUUAUCCGGAUUUAUUGGGUUUAAGGGGUGCGCAGGCGGUCUGUUAAGUCAGCGGUAAAAGCCCGGGGCGCAACCCGGGCCCGCCGUUGAAACUGGCAGUCUUGAGUUGGAGAGAAGUAUGCGGAAUGCGCGGUGUAGCGGUGAAAUGCAUAGAUAUCGCGCAGAACUCCGAUUGCGAAGGCAGCAUGCCGGCUCCACACUGACGCUGAGGCACGAAAGCGUGGGUAUCGAACAGGAUUAGAGACCCCAGUAGUC